rnacentral:lncRNA from 10 species
CUUUCAACAAACAGUGCUGGGACAACUGGAUAUACACAUGUAAAAGAAUGAAACCGGAACCCUAGUAUUUAUCAUAUAUAAAAAUUAUCUCAAAAUGAAUCAAAGACCUAAAUGUAACAGCUAAAACUCUUAGAAUAAAAUGUAAGCAUAAAUCUUCACGACCUUGCCAAUUUUAGGCAAUGAUUUCUGAGAUAUAACAUCAAAUGCCCAAGCAACAAAAGAAAAAAAUGAUAAAAUAAACUUCAUCAAAAUGUAGAAACCUUUGUGCUUCAAAGGAUAUCAUUAAGAAAAUGAAAAGACAACCCACAGAAUGGGAGAAAAUACUUGCAAAUCAUAUAUCUGAUAUGGGUAACCCAAUUUAAAAAUGGGCAAAGGAUCUGAACAGACAUUUCUCCAAGGAAGAUACAUAGUAACCAAUAUCACAUGAAAAGUUGCUCAACAUCAUUAGUCAUAAGGGAAAUGCAAAUCAAAACCACAAUGGGAUACCACUUCAUCCCCACCAGGAUGGCUGUAAUCAGAAAGACAGAUAACAACAAGUGUUGGUGAGGAUGUGGUGAAAUUAUAAACUUCAUACAUUGCUGGUGGGAAUAUAAAAUAGUGCAGCUACUUUGGAAAACAGUCUGGCAGUUCUUCAAAAGGUUAGACAGACUACUAUAGAAUACAGAAAUUUC